UUUUAUGUAUUUAUAUUAUUGCCUUUUGACUAGGAACUCUUCUGCAAACUGCCGUUGGAGAAGCUCUUAACCCAUUUCAUUCUCAGAGGUUGCCUACAAAAUUGAUACAUAAACAUAACUUUUAAUUAACUAUCCCGAAGUUUUCAUUUACUUAAUAUUUGAACCAAAUCAAUUAAUAAAAUAUAUGAUAAUCUAUAAAAAAAU
rnacentral:lncRNA from 1 species